GGAUUUGUGCUUUCUGGACCGGACCUUUCCACCUCUGACCUCUGAGUCUGGAGAAAUACAUACGCAAAACAUUUCUGAAGAAUUUCUCUGGCAUACAAUUUUUGGUGGAUAACAGGGAGGACAGCUGAGCUUCUGGGCGAAUCAGUCUAAUGCUCUGGGGAGAGAUCUGAUUGGAGACUGUCAUUAUCAUAUAGCCGAUAAGAAAAGCCGUGCAUGGUGGAAGAGGCAUGAUCAGCCUGUGUGCGACCCUGGGAUGGGGGGGUGGGGUUUUGCAGCUCACCCCCCCCACCCCCGCUGCCUUUGUAACCAUCUUACACUGUGUCUGUAUGCUACUAAAUUCUAACAAAGUUAUCAAAUCAUCGCUCCAUUUCCUAUGUAGGCUGGAGUUGGUUACCAUUGAGUCACAUGUACGGCAUUGGGCAGUGGUGUGAUUCAAGCUACGCAUCCACUAUAAUCAUGCAAUCUUACAAUACAGUUCAAAUAUCAGAAUGCAUGCUUUCAUGCCUUUGAACAAGGGAAGAGCACUCUGAAUGCUGCAACAGUAUAUGGGUAAAAAAAUCUCUGUAGUCACCAUAGAUUUGGGUUUCUCUGUAAUUACCUUAGAGAGUGUGCCAGGAACACAGUCAUUAUAAUUCAAAGUACAUUGUUUAUCUGUAAGGCUGUGCUGCUGUAUCACCUACAUGUCGAUUCUGGCUUUAUCUUCAAGGCGCUUUGCCAGCUACUGUAUUACUCCGGCUGCUUGCAAAGAUUUUCACAUACUUUGUUAAACCAUUUUUUUUUUGUUUUAAUUUUUAGACAUUACCUAAUGCUUGAGUGUCACUGGCACGUGUGACUGUUCAUUAGCGCAAAUGAGCACAUUCAUCAUAACGCUACUCCAGCGCCAUGGCAACAGGCUGAAUCAGGGCAUUCUGUGGAGCCGGAACAUGCCAUUGACAAUAUGAAAAACGUAUUAAAAUGCCAGGAUAGUAACAGCCCAGUCCGCGCACAGGCUAUCUCCGCCAUUGGAUUGUCAUGUGAUCUGCAUAACACCUUGGCUGUUAAACCCUGGGUGAAUGUUUCACCUCUAUACCUGUGGUGUACCACAGAGUAUGCAGACCUUUAGAAUUAAGUAUAUAAAAGCAAUAAAUCAAAUUAAUGUUUUCUCAGUAAGCAUUUCUUAUGAAAAAUAUUGGUAGUGUUCCAAGUAACAACUAUAAAUGCAUUCUGUAACCUUGUGUCUACCACAGAAUGUCUAUUAACUAGAAGCAGGCAUGUUAUUUAGAUAACCACUAUGUUGGGUACUAUGGUUUAAGUACUACAUGAGUAAACAAUGUAGUUCCAUUAUUUUGUCUUGCACAACAAUAUCCAUGUUACAGUCAUACAUCCAUCUAUCCAUCCAUCUUUCAUAGCUGUUAAUACACUAAAUGGACAAAAGUACCGGGACCCCAUAGUAAUUAUAGGAAUCGGCACAUAAGCCACACCCACUGCUGACAUACAGGUGUAUAAUUAUGCAGGCAGACAUGCAAUCUGCAGCAUUAAACAAUGGGGGCAGAAUGGGUGGUCAUACAGAGGAGGUUAGUCGGCCUGGAACCGUCAUUGAACACCACUGGACAAGUCAGUUUCCCACAUUUCUGUCCUGCUAGAGCUGCCCUGGUCAACUGUAACUGCAGUGAUUUUGAAGUGGAAACAUCUGGGAGCAAGUUCAGCUGCGAGGUGGGGGCCACACAAGAGAGGGACCUGAUCACCCAACAUCAAUACCCAACCUGAAUGGCAGCAAAUCCCACCAGCAAUGUUCCAGCCUCUAAUGGAAAGCCGUCCCAGAAGAGCACAGGCUAUUAUAGCCACUGAGGCUAAUUUUUGUGCCAUGGCCAUUGUGAAAUGGCGGCAGACUGCUCAAUUGGUCCAACACUGAUGAACCCCCCGAAUUCACUGAUCAGAGGAAUCUUCACGGCUGGCAGCUGGGACUGUGUUAAGGAUACAACUGAGAUGCUGAAAGUCGCUCGAGUGUGAAGGAUCUUCAAGUCCUCUCCUCCAUUCAGUCGUGAGGCUUCGUACGAGCCUCCAAGCGGGCAAGAUGCACGCCAGCUCUGUCUUCCUGGUAAACAACCCCCUGGAUAGAAGGCUGGACCGGGCUGCAUAAACGAUGAUGGAGGGAGGAAGAGGGUCCCCUCAACGCUGGGCACAGCGGCCCGGUGCGGCGCCGGCUGGCAGAGGGAGCGGGAGGAGGCAGGGGGGGGGCUUGCGGAUGUCCCAGCUGGCCUCACUUGGAGCACUUCCUCUGAGCCGUCAGCCUGGCUGAAAUCCCUCUGUGAUCAAAGGCGAAAUGAAAAGGCAGGGAGGAGAGGGCCAACACUGAGAUGUUUGCUGGAUGAAAAGGCAGGGGGAGUGAGGCUGGGGGCGGAGGACAACAACAAAAACAUUCUUUGUUUGCAGAAAGGCAGCUGCCCUGACCAAGGCACCUGUAAUUCCUCAGAACUAUCCCUCCAUUGUUUGCUGGCAAAAGUCAUCGCGAGACUGACAGAGCUGAGGGUUUCCAUGGCGAUGCUAGCCGGAGCUUAAGAAUGGAUAACACUCAUUAGGUGAGUGGAUCUGGAAGGUUUCCUUCCUCUCGGCUUGAGAGACAGCUAUUGAUAAGGGGCUUAUCCGAAGGUGCUACAUACCUUAAUACUAAACACCUGGAAUUUAAGCUGGAUUCAUGAAUAGUACAAUAAAACUUCCAACCGACGCUCCUUGUCUGUGGCACGAGGGAACAAAAGCUCAUGAAAAAAGAUCACAAUAGAGGGGUGUUAAUUAAAAUUUUGAAUUUUAGUGACUACUGCUUUAAAUAUUCCUAUUACAGAGAACUUUUUUUUGUGGUAACUUGGGAAACUGACACUGAAUCAUGCAGUUUGAAUAAUUAAAAUGUACACAGCGAAUUUGCUUUCAGUAAUUUGAAAUUGCAUUACCCCACCCAAAUCGCGGGAUAUAAAAACUCACAAUGUUUUACAAAACUUCAGACACUUAAUAUGCAAAUAUCGUCUGUGUCUGCUAACUUAAUUAUUCCUUUAAAGUCAAGUUUCAUAUUCAUUUCCAAGUGACUUCCUCUGAAUAAAUAAUUCAGUGUAUGACUUCCAUGCUAUCGUUCACUUCUAUGAUUGCAUUUGCAUUUGUAUGUUUCACGUGUGAUCCCUGCAUUCAUCUCGCCGCUCUCGUGUUCAGUAAAUCUCCUAUUAUGGAUGUGGGAGACCAUGUGAAAUGCGACUGCAGCAUUUGACUGUGACGGGCCGCCUGAACCCCUUUCCAAGAUGGACAAGUGACUGCUGACUCUCACCCGACAGCGACAGCUGUCUCGAGCUGCUGCACACAGGGCUCUCCAUGGAGAGAUACGUAAGGUUGAUCCUACCUUCGGCCAUUAGAUUCUUCAACGAGUCACCCUAUGGCAGUGGGAGACCACCAACAAUAUGAAUGGACCAGAACUGCUGAGGCACCUUCACAGAACAUUCAUUCACAGUACAACCCCACUGUGCAAUACCCACUGUGCAAUACCCACUGUGCAAUACCCACUGUGCAAUACCCACUGUGCAAUACUGUCUAUUUCUGAACCAUUUCUACGGAUUUCCCUGCAAUGCUUUCCCUGACAUUCUUACUGUUACUGUUUAUUGUUUGUUAUUUAUUGUUACUGUCUAUGGAAUCACUUUGCAUGAGGGGGCACAAGAUACUUAGUAAUUCAUUAACUACUCAAGUACAAGACAAACAUAGUAACUGCAUGAAUUACAUGAACCAUUAUGAUUGAAUAAUGAUGAACAAACAUAGGAUCGGAAUGUAACUAACAUUUAUUUAUUGGUUAAUCAAUACAGUAUCAAUACAAUCCGUAAA